GUGUUUGACUUCUCCUGUCGGAUGAAGACCUGAAGCAGAUCGAGUCGUUCAACAGAAACGAGAGGUACAUCAUCCCGGCUGUGGAGAGGGACAGAGAGUGGAGGGAUGCAGACCACCCUCAUUUCCCGACCUGAUCUACAGACAGAUCCACUGGCCACAUCUAGAGUCAGAUUUACUGGCCCCACAUCGAGAGUCAGCUCUACUGGCCCCACAUCUAGAGUCAGCUCUACUGGCCCCACAUCUAGAGUCAGCUCUACUGGCCCCACAUCUAGAGUCAGCUCUACUGGCCCCACAUCUAGAGUCAGCUCUGCUUACCCCUCCUGUCUCAGCCUCCAGUAUUUAUGCUGCAGUAGUUUGUGUCGGGACCUAGGGUCAGUCUGUUAUAUCUGGAGUACUUCUCCUGUCUUAUCCGGUGUCCUGUGUGAAUUUAAGUAUGCUCUCACUAAUUCUCAGGACUACCAUGCCUCAGGACUACCUGGCAUAAUGACUCCUUGCUGUCCCCAGUCCACCUGGCCGUGCUGCUGCUCCAGUUUCAACUGUUCUGCCUGCGGCUAUGGAACCCUGACCUGUUCACCAGACGUGCUACCUGUCCCAGACCUGCUGUUUUCAACUCUCUAGAGACAGCAGGAGCGGUAGAGAUACUCUUAAUGAUCGGCUAUGAAAAGCCAACUGACAUUUACUCCUGAGGUGCUGACCUGUUGCACCCUCUAUAACCACUGUGAUUAUUAUUAUUUGACCAUGCUGGUAAUUUAUGAACAUCUUGGCCAUGUUCUGUUAUAAUCUCCACCCGGCACAGCCAGAAGAGGACUGGCCACCCCUCAUAGCCUGGUUCCUCUGUAGGUUUCUUCCUAGGUUUUGGCCUUUCUAGGGAGUUUUUCCUAGCCAUCGUGCUUCUACGCCUGCAUUGCUUUCUGUUUGGGGUUUUAGGCUGGGUUUCUGUACAGCACUUUGAGAUAUCAGCUGAUGUAAGAAGGGCUAUAUAAAUAAAUUUGAUUUACUGACCCACACAUAUACUUUUCUUUUUACAGAAUACCUGGACUGGAGUUACUAGGCCUAGUCACUAGAGAUUUUAAUAUUUGAUCAGACAAAAACCAUCUGUUAUGCAGCUCAUGUUCCCUUAGUAAGAAUCUACAUACAUACAGCUUACUCAAUUAUUAAGAAUUCAUUAUUAGUGGGAAAAUAUAUUUGUUUCUAAUCCUUGAUUUUGUUAUACUCAAACUGAUCCAGUGUUCCGAUGUGUGGAUAUCUAAUCUGUGAGAUUGUUGGACAAUAAAUGAUAGAUAAAUCAUCCUUUCCUUCCGUCAUUGAAGUAACAACAGAGCUGAGUGU
ensembl:lncRNA